rnacentral:rRNA from 1 species
AGGAAUAAGGAUCGGCUACUCCGUGCCAGCAGCCGCGGUAAUACGGAGGAUCAAGCGUAUCCGGAUUAUUGGGUUUAAAGGGUGCGUAGGCGGCCUGUUAAGUCAGGGUGAAAGACGGUGGCUCAACCAUCGCAGUGCCCUUGAUACUGAUGGGCUUGAUUUCAGUUGAGGUAGGCGGAAUGUGACAAGUAGCGGUGAAAUGCAUAAAUAUGUCACAGAACACCGAUUGCGAAGGCAGCUUACUAAAGUGAUAAUGACGCUGAGGCACGAAAGCGUGGGGAUCAAACAGGAUUAGAUACCCUGGUAGUCCACGCCCUAAACGAUGAACACUCGAUGUUAGCGAUAUACAGUUAGCGUCUAAGCGAAAGCGUUAAGUGUUCCACCUGGGGAGUACGCCCGCAAGGGUGAAACUCAAAGGAAUUGACGGGGGCCCGCACAAGCGGAGGAGCAUGUGGUUUAAUUCGACGAUACGCGAGGAACCUUACCCGGGCUUGAAAGUUACUGAAGAAUCCAGAGAUGGAUUCGUCCUUCGGGACAGGAAACUAGGUGCUGCAUGGCUGUCGUCAGCUCGUGCCGUGAGGUGUUGGGUUAAGUCCCGCAACGAGCGCAACCCCUGUGAAUAGUUGCCAGCAUGUAAAGGUGGGGACUCUAUUCAGACUGCCUGUGCAAACAGAGAGGAAGGAGGGGACGACGUCAAGUCAUCAUGGCCCUUACGUCCGGGGCUACACACGUGCUACAAUGGAUGGUACAGAGGGCCGCUACCUGGUAACAGGAUGCCAAUCUCAAAAAGCCAUUCACAGUUCGGAUUGAGGUCUGCAACUCGACCUCAUGAAGUUGGAUUCGCUAGUAAUCGCGUAUCAGCAAUGACGCGGUGAAUACGUUCCCGGGCCUUGUACACACCGCCCGUCAAGCCAUGGAAGUUGGGGGUACCUGAAGUCGGUAACCGAAAGGAGCCGCCUAGGGUAAAACCGAUAACUGGGGCUAAGUCGUAACAAGGUAGCCGUA